UUUCCCUCAGGAGCCCACCGGAGCCAGCACCUGGUGCUGGGAUGGAAAACGAUUCAGGGCAUAAUCCUGCCCUGGAGGCGCUUAGGCAGGACGAGUGGGGCAUUUUAUGGAGAGUCCUAUUAUGAGCACUCCGGUGAGCUGGAGAGUCCUGUGGCGCACACCAAGCUUAGGACACUCCAGCCCCACUAACCCUAACCCACCCAGACUGGAGGGCCAGCACCAUCGCCUGAGGCCAUGCUUCGACCAGCAUCCUGGCCCUGCCCAGGAGUUCUCAUUCUGCAGGGCCAACAAGCUCCCCAACAAGCUCGAAGUUUAGGCGUAGCACAGUAAUCCAGAUACUGGGUUCAAAGUUCCAAGUGCACACGCAGAGAUGCAUGGAGGCGUGUGCAGGAGGAAGUGAAUGGAUCUGCUUGUUCUCACUCCCUGGAAAAUCCCGCCCAGCUCAGACACCGGGAAUCAGCACCGCAGACAGCA